GAUGCGCUGUCAUCCCCACCACGCUCCGACUAGCGGUAAGCGAAGUACGAUGCGCGGGGACGCUAUACGCAGUCUGUCUCGAGUCAGGGAGGGGAGCGUAUCGCGUGCAGGAUACUUUCGUUUCGUGUCAACAUUUUUUUCAAUAACUUUUUAGGAAACGGUAACGGUAACAUUGUAUACAAUAACACUAAAAGGAGAGGAAGAAUAGAGAUACACGUGCUGGGUCUCGAUGCCAUACGUCAAUGUAUGGGCGACGAUAUGUGAAAGCAGUCAAGUUUCGAGAUUAUUUAGAGAAUGAUUUUCUUUUUAUUCCUAAUAAAUGAUUUAUUACAAAUCUUUACAACAUAGUAUACAUAACAUAAUAAUAUAUACGAAUAAUCAUAUUUUUAUGAAUUGUUUUUUUCGCUCUCGGUUUUUGGAGUAACGCUUUCUAAAGUUGUAUUGCUAUUGUUUCCUAUUAAACUUUGUAGAAUGGCCUUCUUCUUUUCCUGUAUUGCUGUAAGAAGUUUAGUUCUUCGGAAUAUAUCGUUAAAUAUUCCAAUAGCCAUUUGAAAAUUUCGACAAUCUCUUGGCUCAUAUGCGACCGACCAAACACCCUGGAUCGUAUCGAUUCCUUGGCAUACUUUGCAAGAACCUACAGUUAGUUAACCUUUAAUAAAAUUAAUAUUAAGAAAUUAUUUGUUAGAAAGAGAUUUCAAUACGAUUACUUGCCAACAAAAAUAGCCAAAGUUUUGGUACGAUUGUCAUAAGCGAGUAAAGAAAAAGGUCCACCACGUCUGAAUGGCGCAUGUCCUGUUACGUUCCAUGUCGUGUUUAAAAGUCCUACAUGUAUAGGUUGAGGUAUAAGAUUUGCCAAAGUUACUAUUAUACUUUGAUUGAAAACUUUCAUAUCUAAUCUCACUCCAGCCUUGUUUGUCACCCAUGAUCCUGUAAGUUUGCAGGGUAAUCCUAAAAACAACGUUUAUAUAUUUAUAUAUUGUUAAUUUAAUGUGAAAUUUAUUUUUAAUAUAAUAAUAUACCUUCGUUA